AAAAAACCCUAGAAAUCUCUGCAAUGGCACCAAAGAGAAAGGCAACUGCAGGGGAGCCAUUGCCAACUCGUAUAACUCGAAGCCAAACCAAGAAUGACAACUCGAAACCCGUUUCAGUUGACCCGGUUUCACCAAAACCAAAACGGGUCAAAAAGGGUACCGUUUCUGAGACGAAAUCUAAAGUGAAGGCUCCAGUUGAUUCCGGGUCGAAGAAGAUUGUUGUUGUUGAGCACUGUACCGAGUGCAGGCAGUUCAAGAUUCGGGCUGUGAAGGUGAAGGAGGAGCUGGAACAUGGGGUACCCGGUUUGGAGGUUCGGGUCAACCCGGAAAAGCCAAGGAGGGGUUGUUUUGAAAUCCGGGUCGAUGAUGAAAAGGGUGAGAAGUUUGUUAGCCUUUUGGAUAUGAAGAGGCCAUUUGGACCCAUGAAGGCACUUAAUAUGGACAAGGUCAUUUCUGAAA
rnacentral:misc_RNA from 1 species